rnacentral:tRNA from 1 species
GCGCCAGUAGCUCAGCUGGAUAGAGUGUUUGGCUACGAACCAAAAGGUCGGGGGUUCGAGUCCCUUCUGGCGCGCCA